rnacentral:lncRNA from 1 species
UCUCACCAUAUUCAGCCUAGGCAACCAGCAACAAGAACAAAGGAAGAACAAAGGGAAAAACAAGAAAACCUAGGUGGAAAUUCAAAGAAAAAGUGAAGAAAUCAAGGAAACAAACUAGGUAAGUUAGAAUUUCUUUAAUUCUCCUUGAUACCUAGCUUACCCAUGCUUUUGUUCUUGAUUUCCAUGGUUGAAUAUUGAGUUAUCAUGAUGAAUUCAAUUCUGAAAAAUGGGUAUGGAAGAGGAAUUGUUGUUGGAAUAAUUUGAUUUUAGACUAUGUUAGUGUUUAGGGAUAGUUAAGCAUGGUUAUGAACAAAAACACAAAAGAAAUAUUCAAUUUCUCUAGGGUUCCUUGUUGGCCGAACCAUGAGGGCUGAAUAUCAAUGGGGGAUUGUUUUUAUUUCAAGGAAAAUGGCAUGGAAAAUGAUGAAUUAAGGUGAAACGGUUAUGUAGAAAAAAAUUCGAUGCUAGUGCACCAAAUGACCAAAUUUUUCUAUAAGGAACUGUGAGGGUUCUAAUGCUGAAUUUGGCUUUAUUUAAAUGUAUGUGGUAAAUUAAGGUAUUAGAGGAGAAAUGAAUUAAUUUGGAGGUGAUUUGGACACAAUCGCCGAUUAAUCGGGUGAUCGGUCGAAUUUAAUCGAUACCGUGAUUAAGCGGUAAUCGGACAUAUUUUUGCAUUUACAUAUCAAGCAUUAGUAGUUUAAAUUAAUUUAUAUCAAUUUAGGGACAAUAUAGUAAAUUCCUCGACUUUGUUAUUUGUCAAGGUGGUGAGACGUCCGGAAAAGGCAAAGGAAUUACGCCUGAGGACUAUUAGUCAGAGUUCACCCGGAAUCCGGAUUUUCGACACCU